AACAUGGCACGUCUCAUUCUUCGUCUUAUUCUUAAUAAUAAUACUAUUAAUAAAGAAAUUAUGACAUUUGAAAUUAAAGAUUAUGACUAGAAUGUUUUUAGGCUCUUGUGAGAUUUUUUAUUUAUUUAUUUAUUUAUUUUGUCACACCCAUAAUAUCCUACAUGUACACAAAUAAAUCGUUUGUUAUUUUUACAUAGUUUUAUCAAUUUUAAGUAGCUCAUAUAAGUAGCUAGCAACACUGGACAAAUAAUCUGACUUCUGCAUUUAAUACAUGUGAGAUGACGAGCAAAAUAUGUUUCUUUUUUUCAGCACUGCAAAGUUUUCUGUCUGAUGUAUUUAUACGGGGAAUAUAUGGAGAAAAUAAUUGUAAAAACAUUCUGUAGCCUUCAUUUUAAGUGAAUGAUAUUUUCUACUUUUACAUGAUGAUGUUGACCCAUUGGGUGAUAAGCAUAAAACAUUUUUUUUUUUUUUUGAGAAAAUACAUAAGAUUUCAUAUAACACGUUAAAACUGAACAUGGUAAAAUAUUUAAUUAUUAUUUUUUAAGAAAUUAACUUUUACUCCCCUCUUUGUCCAAUAUGUAUUAAACAAUUUACUAUCUUUUGUAUGUCUCUAUUGACAUUUUUAAUGUUAGACUAAUGCAUCCCCAACAGCAGAUGGCGCUGUAUCGUUAAUCAUUAGUUUAGACUUGGUAAAGGGAAAGUUCGAAAUUUCGAAUCAGGUGAGGAAGGUAGAGCGGCUUUGGUGCUGAAUCUGUUUCAGAAAUAAGAAUGGGCUGUGGCUUUAUACAGUAGAUAUGAAGUAUUAGGUGCCAAUUUGGUUGCCUCUGUUUCUAGACUUUGUCAUGUCUUUCGUUCCCUGUUUAGUUUAUAGAUGGAGUAAGGAGAAUAACAGCAUCAUUUUGACUUGGAGGGUAACGUUAAGUUUAAGUUAACGUGCCAUUGUAAAAUUAAUAUUUUAUCGUUUACCGUAAUAUUUGACUUUAGUGAGAAAUACUGAACCAAAUCGGAAUGUUCUGAAGCGAUGCUGUUCGAGGAAUACCAGCAGCUACUGAACGACUCGAACUUGAAAUGACAGUUUCAUAAAAUACGUUUCUGAAACAGAGGAGAGUCUCAAACGCAUUUAAUAUGUGUUUUAUGUUUCCCCUGCCUUUCUGUUUUUCUGUAGCUGUAGAGGCUCCUGGAUCUCAGGAUUCAGGUGUUGAGAAACACUGGUUUAUACCUCAUUUAUAAGAUUGCCCCCUAACAAACAAUAAUGUAACAGUAUUUUAUUAAAUACAUCAAUCAGUUGCAAAUCAGUUGUAAACAUGAAAUUACCUAUUAAUGUGACCUAAGAAUGAUCAUUUGUUAAUGUAAAUAUUGUUGUUUAUAAAGGGGACAUAUGAUGUGAUUUCAAUUCUUGGUGCAUAAAGAAGAUCUGUAAAGUUCCAAAGACUGUAUUCUAUAUCUAUUUGAUAUAGAUAAUGUGAUAAAAUGUUUAUGUAAAUUUUUUCACAAGAAAUACAUCCCAUAUCUUUAUUGCCAUUUAAAACAUAAUGAAUAGUAGAACUGACAUUAACCUUAAAAUGCUUAUGCUGGUUUAGGGGUGGAACAGAUGAAGAUGGAAAAAUAUUCUGAGGCCCUUGACAUUUUUCAGGAAGUCUCUUGGCACAGAUCCACACCCUUUCAGGGCCAGCCCCAUUGUGCUCUCCACUUUUAUAGGAAGGCUUUGGAGCUGGAUUGUGCUUGCCAUAGUGCACUUUAUCAAAGUGCUCUGGUGUUCAGACAAUUUGGCAAUCCAAAGGCAGAAAUCGAGGCCUUGCAUCUUCUUUACUCAGUCAUCCAAGUUGCAGAUGAGUUUCUUCAUCGGAGCAGAAUUAAAUAAAUUCAGCAUUACAUCAUUUGCACCACUGCAGUGAUAGGGUGCCGUCAGAAUGACUUCAAACAGCUGAUAAAAACAUCACAGUAAUUCACAUUUCAUACGCUUCAGUCCAUCAAUUAAUGUCUUGUGAAGUGAAAGAAUGCAUGUUUAUAAUUAACAAAUUCAUCAAGACAUUUUUAAUGUCAAACUAUUGCUUCCACCUAAAAUACAAGUAUCCAUAAUAAUUUAUCCAUAAUAUUGCUUUCUCCAUUGAAAAAGUCUCAUCUGAAUCAGGAUGGAAACAUGCACAAAUAAAGUACAGUUUAUAGAGAAAACAGUCCAAACUGUUCUAAACAGAAAUGUCAGGGGAUCUUGAUGUGAAAGGACAACAGGGGAUCAACUUUUUGACUGGAGGAAGUGUUUUUAUGGAUUAUGGACUGUUUUUUUGGCCCAAAGCAACAGUUUAAAGUUAAAUCACCUUGAUGAUGGUUUCGUUUCUAACAAACAUGCAGCUUUUCUCUUAAGAAAGUUGUGUGAAUUUCUUGUCAAUUUAAGGGAUGCUUUUAUGAGACUCACAUUCCCAAUACUGCAAAUGAUCUAUUGGUGAGCAAGUGCUGUAAUGCUGGAUUUCUCCAAAUCUGUUCAGGUGAAGAAACAAAUACAUUUUGGAUGGCCUGAUGAUACACACAGGAGAAGGUGCUACUUUUCCUGAAAUCCCAGUGGUCUACCUUGAAGCAGGAUUUGCUUCUGUGAGGAGGUCAACACCAGCACUUUGGACUUCAUUCCUGAGAGACUGCUGCUUGAUGCUGAUGAAAAACAAAAUGUAGCUGAUUCUGAUGUUGUUCUUGAAAAUGUGGACUUUGUUUUAUGGGCUGGUGCAGCCCGUCUCCUUCAAGCACAAGAUCACUAGAAACUGAAGAACACCAAAGAGGCAAUUACAAAUUUCACAAGAGCGAUUAAUAAUUUGGUGAAGGUGUUCAUUACACAGAAAGUCAAGUAAUCUCUCUCUUUCCAGUCUUACUGCUGCUCUAACAAAAUUGUGUUUUCAUACUAAUCAUAUCCGCUUUUGUUUGUGAAGUGUUGCCCGGUAAUAAGAUCUUUGGAAAAGCAGACUUAUAGAUAUAUUUAACUAUUAAAUAUUUUUAUCCUGGGGUCUUCAAGGGGUAUGUAUCUAUUAAUAACAGAUCUACUUUCAAGAGAUGAAGUAAGCUGUUUUUCUGUCUUUAGCCUACUGAGGCCACAUUUGAGGUGUGCACUUGCUUCAUGUACCAUUACUUACACAGUUUCAUCAAACUUUUAGACUGGAAACAAAAACAUCUUGUAAACACUGAAGCAAUGGUUGAAAGAAUGGCGACUUUGGAAGCAGCAAAAGGACAAGCACUGGCUGGCAGAGGGCUCUGCUUUCUGGAAGGAGCAGGGUGGACUAUUGUAAUGGUCUCUUCACCGGCCUUCACAAGAUCAUUAGACAGUUGCAGCUCUUCCAGAACGCUGCUGCCAGGAUUCUGACUAGAACCAGAAAAUCUGAGCAUAUCACACCAGUCCUCAGGUCCUUACACUGGCUGCCAGUUAUAUUUAGGAUAUAUUUUAAAGUACUUUUACUGCUUUAUAAAUCACUCAAUGGCCUAGAACCUAAAACAUGGCAGAUAUGUGCACUGAAUAUAAACUUGACAGACCACUCAGAUCAUUAGGAUCAAGUCAGAAAUACCCAGGGUUCACAAAGAACAAGGGGAGUCUGCUUUUAGUUAUGCCACCCGCAGUUGGAAUCGGCUUCAAGAAGAGAUCAGAUGAGCUGAUUUCUUUAAAAUCUAGACUCAAAACUGAUGUUUAGCUCUGCAUUCAUUGAAUGAACUGAUUGCACUGUAUUUUCUGUAUAAUAUUUUUCUAAAGUGUUUUAAUUAAUUUUAGAUAAUUUAAAAAGUUUUUAAUUUCCUUGUUUUAUUGUGAUUAUUUUUUAUGAUUAUUAAAAUUUACUUUUAUGAUUAUUAA